rnacentral:rRNA from 1 species
UACACGUGGCUAAUUCUGCCCUUGGGACCGGAAUACCCCCGGGAAACUGGGGCUAAUUCUCGAUAGGUGAAGAACUCUGGAAUGAGUCUUUGCCAAAAAGACGUUUACGUUAUGCUCGUAGGCGUUGCCCAAGGAUGAGGCCGCGACCGAUCAGGUUGUUGGUGAGGUAAUGGCUCACCAAGCCUCUUACCGGUGCGGGCCGUGAGAGCGGGAGCCCGGAGAUGGGCACUGAGACAAGGGCCCAGGCCCUACGGGGCGCAGCAGUCGCGAAAACUUUGCAAUACACGGAAGUGUGACAGGGCUAUCCCGAGUGCCAUCCGCUGAGGAAGGCUUUUACCCAGUCUAGAACGCUGGGGGAAUAAGGAGAGGGCAAGUCUGGUGUCAGCCGCCGCGGUAAUACCAGCUCUCCGAGUGGUGUGGAUGUUUAUUGGGCCUAAAGCAUCCGUAGCUGGCUGAGUUAGUCCCUUGUUAAAUCCACCGAAUUAAUCGUUGGAUUGCGGGGGAUACUGCUCGGCUAGGGGACGAGAGAGGCAGACGGUAUUUCUGGGGUAGGGGUGAAAUCCUAUAAUCCCAGGAGGACCACCAGUGGCGAAGGCUGUCUGCUAGAACGCGCCCGACGGUGAGGGAUGAAAGCUGGGGGAGCGAACCGGAUUAGAUACCCGGGUAGUCCCAGCUGUAAACGAUGCAGACUAGGUGUUUGGACGGCCACGUGCCGUUCUAGUGCCGCAGGGAAGCUGUUAAGUCUGCCGCCUGGGAGUA